ACGUCUGGUGAAUUCAGUGGUAGAAUGCUCGCCUGCCACGCGGGCGGCCCGGGUUCGAUUCCCGGCCGAUGCA